GCAUUACACAACCGAUGGGAAAUGGUUUGCUGCGUGGCCCUUUAUAUCGGUCCAUCUAUAAACCGAUAGAAAAAUCUCCGAUUAUUUUCCACUAAAACCCUAGCCCCCAUUCCAACCGAAAACAUAUUCUUCUUCAACGUGAACCACAAACCACGAACUGUUCCGCCUAAAUCUUGGAGUUCCACCUUCUCCUGGAUCAAUCCAGAACCAUCUCACCGCCUAAAUAUUGGAGUUCCACCUUCUCCUGGAUCAAUCCAGAACCAUCUCACCGUGCUGGAACUUCUCUACACGAACGAUUUCUCAAACGCAGUGGAAAGCGUAUCGACGACUCUCGAUCUUCUCCCUGUCGCGUUAGAAUUGCUCUUCGAAGACUGCGAUCGGUGGUGCGUGAGUUAUCUCGAAACCGUGUCGUGGACGGAAGAAGAAGAAAACAGAGUGGUAAACCUAAAGGAAGCCAAAAAGAAUCGAAAGAGCUUGUAGCUAGGGUUUCACCCAUAAGAGAAAACGCAUGCGAGGAAAUGCUAUAAGGUUUAUUUGCUAGUUUUUAAAUCUUUUAUAUUUUUCUAAUGACUUAGUUGCUGUAAAUACAUGAUAGAUUUUAUGAUCUACUUCAAAGGAUUUUUAUACUUGAUCCUAACUGUCACUUAGCAUGUGCAUCUUUUGUACACUUAAUUGUAAAUCCCAUUUUAUAAAUUUACUUACUCUCAAGCGUAGCUGCGUAAUUCUAUGUUAUUUUAAGAGUUGGAAUUUGAUUCACUUUGACAUUCUACCGCUCUUACAUCUCUCCCUUUGAUUUGGAAUGUUUAAUGUGUUUCUCUCUUCCAUGAAUUAUAUUAAUGUAGAACUGGACCAAGGAGGAAACAGAUCAACUGUUGUGUGAUAGGUUUAAUCUCAAAUUUAUUGUUAUAGCUGAUAGGUUUCCUUCAUCUCGAACUGUUGAAGAAUUAAAGGAUCGGUAUUAUAGUGUAUUUCGGGCUAUAUUAAUUGCGAAGGAAUCCAUCUUCUGGAGAUGUUGUUGUGGAUCCACUUGUUAAGGAACCAUAUAACGUUUCACAAGAGAUGAAGCGGAAACGAGCUGUCUCUAAUCUUAUCUCAAACAAAACGACAAGAGCGUAGAGAUGAACAGGUGCUUGCUGAAGCAAAAAGGAUUUCUGAAUUACGCAUUAAGAUGCAAUUCAGUAAUCUGCUAUAUCACUAUGGCAUUUUAAGACGGUGUUCCUGAUAUUCGAUGGGCAGCUCGCUUUCGCUAUGCAAGUUUAGCUCCAAUUGAGGUUGAUGGCUCCAUGCGCAAGUUUUUGAAGGGUGGUAGAGACUUGGAUAUAUUAUUUCAUUUGAGCAGCUUUUAGGAACGAUAUUGGAGCAGACGGAUGUUGACAACCAGAUUGCGAAGCUGAUGGUGGAGUUGUCGAGGAAUCAAGACUAUGAGAUCGGUGAUGGUACUACUAGAGUUGUUGUGUUGGCUGGAUCUCUUCUAGAGCAAGCUGAGAUGCUUUUGGAACGGGGAAUUCAUCCCAUUAGGAUUGCUGAGGGAUAUGAAAUGGCUUCCAGGAUUGAUGUUGAAAAUCUUGAACGAAUUGCUAAUAAGUUUGAGUUUGGAGAAACUAUUUUGGAGCCUCUGAUUCAGACUUGUAUGACUAUGGGCCAGUUUGUUUCAGCUUUAAAAAAAUGGAUUUUUUCUUUGUAAUUUUGAAAAUAGAUUUUCUAAAACCGUUUUUCAAAAUAUUACAAAUUUUUUUAUAUUCGUUUUUUCUAAAAUGAAACACCAAUUUUGACAUCUUAUAACAUAAACAUACAUAAUUGAAGACCAAAACUUUGUCAAAAUCAUAAUUUUUUCAAAAAGUCAUAUUUCAAAAAUGAUUUUUAUGAAAAUCUAUUUGAAAUAGCUUCAAAAUUAAGUGAUUUUUUGAAAUUUUGAUAUCCAAAUUUUUUUCCCAUAAAUAGAUGAAAUACCUAAAAUCACAAUUUAAGAAUAACUAUUCAAACAAAAUUUUCAUUUGAAGUUUUUAUAAAAAGUUUCUUUGUAAAAAAUUUUUUCACAAAAUUUGAUAACACUAUAAAAAUCAUUUUUAUAAAAAGCCAA